UACGUAGGGUGCAAGCGUUGUCCGGAAUUAUUGGGCGUAAAGAGCUCGUAGGCGGUCUGUUACGUCGGCUGUGAAAACCUAGGGCUCAACCUGGGCCUGCAGCCGAUACGGGCAGACUAGAAUUCGGUAGGGGAGACUGGAAUUCCUGGUGUAGCGGUGAAAUGCGCAGAUAUCAGGAGGAACACCGGUGGCGAAGGCGGGUCUCUGGGCCGAUAUUGACGCUGGAGGAGCGAAAGC
rnacentral:rRNA from 1 species